rnacentral:tRNA from 1 species
GGGUGUUUUCCAGGGUAAUCGCUCCCAACGCGACCUAGAGCGCCCCAACGUUCGCAGACUCAUAAUCCGUUGGUCCCUGGUUCGAAUCCAGGCGGGCCCA